rnacentral:rRNA from 1 species
AUACGUAGGGUGCAAGCGUUAAUCGGAAUUACUGGGCGUAAAGCGUGCGCAGGCGGUUUUGUAAAACAGAGGGGAAAUCCCCGGGCCCAACCUGGGACUUGCCUUGGGUCUGGCAGGCCAAAGGUACGGCAAAGGGGGGUGGAAUUCCGCGUGUGAAGGGAAAUGGCGUAGAUAUGCGGAGGAACACCGAUGGCGAAGGCAAUCCCCUGGGCCUGUACUGACGCUCAUGCACGAAAGCGUGGGGAGCAAACAGGAUUAGAUACCCUGGUAGUCCACGCCCUAAACGAUGUCAACUGGUUGUUGGGUCUUCAUUGACUCAGUAACGAAGCUAACGCGUGAAGUUGACCGCCUGGGGAGUACGGCCGCAAGGUUGAAACUCAAAUGAAUUGACGGGG